AGCUAAUAGAUACCCCAGGGUAGUCCACGCCCUAAACGAUGUCUACUAGUUGUUGGUGGAGUAAAAUCCAUGAGUAAACGCAGCUAACGCGUGAAGUAGACCGCCUGGGGAGUACGGUCGCAAGAUUAAAACUCAAAGGAAUUGACGGGGGCCCGGCACAAGCGGUGGAUUAUGUGGAUUAAUUCGAUGCAACGCGAAAACCGUUACCUGGCCUUGACAUGCCACUAACGAAGCAGAGAUGCAUUAGGUGCCCGUAAGGGAAACGUGGACACAGGUGCUGCAUGGCUGUCGUCAGCUCGUGUCGUGAGAUGUUGGGUU
rnacentral:rRNA from 1 species